CAUGGCAGGCAGAAGCAGCUCUCUCCCCCAGGCUCCUGAAGCACCUUGUGCCUCCCUCUUUCAGUACAGCACACUCUUCUGUAACUCCUCUAUGCCUGUCUGCCCCCAAAACUCAGUUCUUUGAAGGCAGAAGCCAUGUUCUGUUCACCUUUAUGUCUCCCAAGUAAUAUCUGAUCUGCAAUAGGUAGUUGGCCCAUGUUUAUUGAACAAACAGUAUAACUGUGGCCUUGCAGCCCUUUCACAUCUCUCGCUGAGGAAGUGGCUAACGCCCAACCACCUUCAUAACGGACAAAGCUUCUCACAAGCAGGCAGCAGCUGAUCGGGGCAGGGGCAGCCAGGGAGCACCAGCACACCUUAGUCACCCCCCCCACCCCCGCCCCGUGCAGCCAUGUGGUGGACCUGUCCCCUCUUCUACCUCACCAUCUUCUGCGCAGAGGUCUCGCUGGACAUAAUUUUGGAAGCAGACACCAAAACUCUGACUGUUCUAAUUGGGGAGACUGCCACCUUCCGCUGCAAUGUAACAGGAGCGGACUUAAAAAAUUAUCAAAUGAGCUGGUAUAAGAAGGAUGAAGAUAACUCCCUGACUUUAGUAUAUAGACUAAGCAACAAUUCUACUGACCAUUCGAAGAGUAAUAUCAAAGGGAAAGUCGACCCUUUAAAAAGUCAGUAUAUACUUGACAUUCAAAAGGCAACGACAAAAGACAUUGGGACUUACUACUGUGGGUCCGAUACCCACAGUGCUGCUCCCCUGCUUCUCACCACCUCAGGAUCCCCGGGGUCAGACCGAGGUGGCAGAUCCGAUUAGAGGCCCUCUUUGGCUAGAAUGUGUACCACACCUUAGAUGAGACCACCUGAUAACCUCCACAGUAACAUCUGAUAAGAGAGACAAGAGCUGAGUUGGGGUUAAGGGCCUUAUCUUUGCAGUUGGUUGAAAGGAGGCUUCUUUAUUGGCCUAGACGGGCAGAAAAUGCUGUUAGGGCUUAGGUGGAAAGACCAAGGAGAUUUGCACCUGUCUCUCCAGACCCCUGAGGAAAGGUUGAAAAAACAACCUUCGGGACUGAGAAGGCCCGAUCGCUGCGGAGGCGGCUGAGGCGAACAGAAUUUCCACUAUCGUCAGUGCUGUAGCUCAUUCCCGAGUCUUUAUUGAGAAAGCGUUCAUGUGCAUAAACUAGAUAAAGCAAGGACGGUUUCCAUUACCAUCCUAAUCAAAAUUUCCAAAGCCAUUAGAGAUAACUUUAACUCUUACUCUGUGAAGAAAGAUGAAUAGAGUCAUUUUCUGAAAUGUUCCUAUAACCAUUUCAAGUACUGAAUGCUUUAUAUCCUCCCCUAGCUACAGAGGAGCCCUGGGUACCUAGGGGGUUGGCUGAGAGAGAUCUCGGAGACAAAUACUUAAGGCAAUGUGGCAUUUAUGAGUUGGUCAUGAAUCAACUGAAUCAGAAAUAUAGGUCCCCCAGCCCCAAGUUGAAACAGGCAGGCCAAAAGUGUCUGACACUACAGGGAGCUAAGCAAGCCCCCCUGCGGGGA